ACGGGGCGCAGCAGGCGCGAAAACUCCGCAAUGCGCGUAAGCGUGACGGGGGGACCCCAAGUGCCGUUGGUCUUUUGAUCGACGGCUUUUAGGAAGUCUAUGAAGCUUCCAGAAUAAGGGCUGGGUAAGACUGGUGCCAGCCACCGCGGUAACACCAGCAGCCCAAGUGGUGGCCACGAUUAUUGGGCCUAAAGCGCUCGUAGCCGGGUCAGCAAGUCCCUUGUGAAAUCGGGCCGCCUAACGGUUCGGCGUGCAAGGGAUACUGUUGGUCUUGAGGCCGGGAGAGGUCGGAGGUACUCCUGGGGUAGCGGUGAAGUGCUCUAAUCCUGGGGGGACCACCAGUGGCGAAGGCGUCCGACCAGAACGGACCUGACGGUGAGGGGCGAAGGCUAGGGGAGCGAACGGGAUUAGAUACCCCGGUAGUCCUAGCUGUAAAGCAUGCGGGCCAGGUGUCUAGCGCUCCUUGAGGGCGCUAGGUGCCGGAGGGAAGCCGUUAAGCCCGCCGCCUGGGAAGUACGGCCGCAAGGUUGAAACUUAAAGGAAUUGGCGGGGGAGCAC
rnacentral:rRNA from 1 species